AUUUAUUAUACAGAGUUCUUGUUUGGCAGGUAUGGACCUUAGUUUUCACCCUCCCUGAAUCCAUGGAGCCAGAACAGAGCUCUUGUAUGGCAGGGUGGUCGCACAAUUCUCGUCUAGCUUGAUUACAUUCCUACACUACGUAUCAUCACACAGGCUGGUACUUUUCUCAGACCUCUCCAUCUUCUUGACUUAUUGUGCUUCCCAAUAUUUCGAUGUCUCGGUUACACAUAGGUUGGUUGCAGAAGGGUGCAAGAUUCAAGAAAACUGUAGUAUAUCUGAAAAUGUAAGGAAAACACUACAUGGCUGGUAAGGGAUGGUGAUUGGUGGAGGCCAGGAAUAGUUCAUCUGCUUCAAACCUUCUGGCUGUUCAUCAACUACAUCCUUGGAUUCUUCUAUGUAUGUCAGAUGGCGAUACCAAAUUAAGGGUUCUAGCUUGCAUGCAGCAUCAAGAUCAGGCCUCUGUUACACAAGCUAUAACUUGUCUCUAAUGAAACAAUGGAUCUCUUGCGUUCAA